rnacentral:rRNA from 1 species
UACGAAGGGUCCAAGCGUUGUUCGGAAUUACUGGGCGUAAAGCGUGCGUAGGCGGGUCGGAAAGUCGAUUGUGAAAUCCCUGGGCUUAACCUAGGAACUGCAGUCGAAACUCCCGAUCUUGAAUGUCUGAGAGGAUGGCGGAAUUCCCGGUGUAGUAGUGAAAUACGUAGAUAUCGGGAAGAACACCUGAGGCGAAGGCGGCUAUCUGGCGGUACAUUGACGCUGAUGCACGAAAGCGUGGGGAGCAAACAGG